rnacentral:rRNA from 1 species
GACCGAUAGUGAACCAGUACCGUGAGGGAAAGGCGAAAAGAACCCCGGCGAGGGGAGUGAAAAAGAACCUGAAACCGUGUACGUACAAGCAGUGGGAGCACGCUUAGGCGUGUGACUGCGUACCUUUUGUAUAAUGGGUCAGCGACUUAUAUUCUGUAGCAAGGUUAACCGAAUAGGGGAGCCGAAGGGAAACCGAGUCUUAACUGGGCGUUAAGUUGCAGGGUAUAGACCCGAAACCCGGUGAUCUAGCCAUGGGCAGGUUGAAGGUUGGGUAACACUAACUGGAGGACCGAACCGACUAAUGUUGAAAAAUUAGCGGAUGACUUGUGGCUGGGGGUGAAAGGCCAAUCAAACCGGGAGAUAGCUGGUUCUCCCCGAAAGCUAUUUAGGUAGCGCCUCGUGAAUUCAUCUCCGGGGGUAGAGCACUGUUUCGGCAAGGGGGUCAUCCCGACUUACCAACCCGAUGCAAACUGCGAAUACCGGAGAAUGUUAUCACGGGAGACACACGGCGGGUGCUAACGUCCGUCGUGAAGAGGGAAACAACCCAGACCGCCAGCUAAGGUCCCAAAGUCAUGGUUAAGUGGGAAACGAUGUGGGAAGGCCCAGACAGCCAGGAUGUUGGCUUAGAAGCAGCCAUCAUUUAAAGAAAGCGUAAUAGCUCACUGGUCGAGUCGGCCUGCGCGGAAGAUGUAACGGGGCUAAACCAUGCAC